GACGAACGCUGGCGGCGUGCUUAACACAUGCAAGUCGAACGGAAAGGCCUUUUCGGAGGUACUCGAGUGGCGCACGGGUGAGUAACACGUGGGUGAUCUGCCCUUCACUCUGGGAUAAGCCUGGGAAACUGGGUCUAAUACCGGAUAGGACCGCACUUUAGUGUGUGUGGUGGCAAGUUUUUUCGGUGUAGGAUGAGCCCGCGGCCUAUCAGCUUGUUGGUGGGGUAAUGGCCUACCAAGGCGGCGACGGGUAGCCGGACUGAGAGGUCGGUCGGCCACAUUGGGACUGAGAGACGGCCCAGACUCCUACGGGAGGCAGCAGUGGGGAAUAUUGAACAAUGGGCGCAAGCCGGAUGCAGCGACGCCGCGUGGGGGAUGACGGCCUUCGGGUUGUAAACUCCUUUCGCCAGGGACGAAGCGUUUUGUGACGGUACCUGGAGAAGAAGCACCGGCUAACUACGUG
rnacentral:rRNA from 1 species